rnacentral:rRNA from 1 species
GGCGCACGGGUGCGUAACACGUAUGCAACCUACCUUUGACUGGGGGAUAGCCCCGAGAAAUCGGGAUUAAUACCCCAUACAAUUACGGUGAGACAUCUCACUGUAAUGAAAGCUCCGGCGGUCUUAGAUGGGCAUGCGCGACAUUAGCUAGUUGGUGAGGUAACGGCUCACCAAGGCUGCGAUGUCUAGGGGUUCUGAGAGGAUUCACCCCCACACUGGUACUGAGACACGGACCAGACUCCUACGGGAGGCAGCAGUAAGGAAUAUUGGUCAAUGGACGCAAGUCUGAACCAGCCAUGCCGCGUGCAGGAAGACAGCCCUACGGGUUGUAAACUGCUUUUGUACGGGAAAAAACCUCCGGUCGUGUACCGGAGCUGAUGGUACCGUAAGAAUAAGCAUCGGCUAACUCCGUGCCAGCAGCCGCGGUAAUACGGAGGAUGCAAGCGUUAUCCGGAUUCAUUGGGUUUAAAGGGUGCGCAGGCGGAAUGAUAAGUCAGUGGUGAAAUCCUACGGCUCAACCGUAGAACUGCCAUUGAUACUGUCAUUCUUGAGUACACUUGAAGUGGGCGGAAUGUGUCAUGUAGCGGUGAAAUGCUUAGAUAUGACAAGGAACACCGAUCGCGAAGGCAGCUCACUAAAGUGAAACUGACGCUCAGGCACGAAAGCGUGGGGAUCAAACAGGAUUAGAUACCCUGGUAGUCCACGCUGUAAACGAUGAUUACUCGAUGUUGGCGAUAUACAGUCAGCGUCUAAGCGAAAGCAUUAAGUAAUCCACCUGGGGAGUACGGCCGCAAGGUUGAAACUCAAAGGAAUUGACGGGGGCCCGCACAAGCGGAGGAGCAUGUGGUUUAAUUCGAUGA